rnacentral:snRNA from 1 species
GGAUGUGAGGGCGAUCUGGCUGCGACAUCUGUCACCCCAUUGAUCGCCAGGGUUGAUUCGGCUGAUCUGGCUGGCUAGGUGGGUGUCCCCUUCCUCUCUCACCACUCCACGUGUGUCCCUCCCAAAGCUGCGAGCUCUGUUGAGGAGGACGGGCUUCCAGGAAUAGAGACCAACUGGUCUUCCGUCAAGGGUAUAUGAGUAGCUGCACUCCCCUGCUAGGACCUCCAAACAAGGUCUCCAGAAAACACCAUAGAAUAGCACUUAGAAUCUCUCACAGUUUUCCAGUCUCUCAACCUUAAUUUGAAUAUUAAUAUUCAAAUAGAA